GAUUAUUGGGUAAAUCAUCAUAGUAAGGUCAAUUGAUUUCUUAGCCAAAAGGAAAUAGGUCUAAACUCAAGAAUAGUUAAGAACUGUUGAUAAGAUUUGAUGACGCUAAAGAAAUUUCGAAAUUCAUAAUACUUUGUGAGAGCUGUUUCAAAGUUAAAAAAAUAAACAUAGAACCUCUGAAUCAACAGAAUGACGAAGAAGAAAGAUAUGAAGCAGCCUGCGUAUGCAUGUAGUGACAUGAUUAGCUAUCUUAGAGUAAUGCUCUUGAGCAAACCAAGGCUCAAUGAGUCCAGAGAAGUUUAGAGCAAAGCUCGAUCUUCAUACAAUGAUGAAUAUGGUAGAGUCUCAAGCCAUUACACUGAAAAUUACAAGGCUGAACAUUUAGUGGACAAAAGUAUUGAUCAGUUGGGCUACAAGCAAGAAGCUAAGUUCAUCUCUAUCGAAAAGUACACGGACAAGGAGCUAGGGUUUUCCACCGAGUACCAAACCUAGGUGAAGUUCAAGGAAUCUGUUUAUCCAAACAAGUUUGGAUCUUCAUCAUCUAAUUCUAACUAUGACAACAAUAAGAAUUGCAACUCCUUUUGGAAAUUGAUGAGAACGUCUGUUAUCGAGGAGUUUCCCAAGAAA
rnacentral:lncRNA from 1 species